AUUGAACGCUGGCGGCAGGCCUAACACAUGCAAGUCGAGCGGAUGAAGGGAGCUUGCUCCUGGAUUCAGCUACGGACGGGUGAGUAAUUCCUACGAAUCUACCUUGUCUUGGGGGAUAACAUCCCGUAACGAGCGCUAAUACCGCAUACGUUCUGAUGGAGAAAGGCGGGGAUCUUCGGACCUCACGCUAUCAGAUGAGCCUAGUUCGGAUUAGCUAGUUGGUUGGGUAAAGGCUUACCAAGGCGACGAUCCGUAACUGGCCUGAGAGGAUGAUCAGCCACACUGGAACUGAGACACGGUCCAGACUCCUACGGGAGGCAGCAGUGGGGAAUCUUGGACAAUGGGCGAAAGCCUGAUGCAGCCAUGCCGCGUGUGUGAAGAAGGUCUUCGGAUUGUAAAGCUCUUUAAGUAGGGAGGAACAGAAGUAAGUUAAAAUAUUGCUGUCUUGACGGUACCAAAAGAGUAAGCAACGGCUAACUUCGUG
rnacentral:rRNA from 1 species